CGUUUCGCCGGAGUAAGGGCUCUCUCGCGAACAAUAGAUGACGUCACUGCUACGUCACUCACGUGUGACGUCACUUGAAGACUUUUUUUCCCUAAGUUGGUUUUGACUUUUCCCCGUGUCGCCACGGAGUGCCUAGUAUGUCACGUGCUUCAUGAAUUUCGUCCCUAAUGUCCUAGUGUCAUCUUCACCUCCGCCGGCGCUGUCUCCGCGCACGUGUCACGAAGUGUCGUCGGUGUAGUCAAGUAGCCGCAAAAGUCAAUACUCCCAUGAAAUGCGACGUUUGUGGCGUUGGCCUGUCUUCACUGGAAAAAUAUGUGGAGCACCACAUCGCAGCGCACAAAUUCGCCGCCGACUACGUGCAGCAGGCGUUCCACAAAGAUAAAGAAUUCAGUGAAUGGAAAGCUCAGGAAGAGGCGAACUGUUGGUUUGUUCUUCACACGGCUCCCAAAAAGCUGGCAAGUGGGGAAACAAGGAGCCACUACUACUCUAAUAGAUCAGGAGUGGCUAGGCCAAAGGAAGGUCAUGGUAAUCGUAGAGAAAAAAGUCAGGGUACCUGCAAGUCCGGUAAGAUAUGUCUCAUUUAUUACUGUGACGAAGAAGGAGAACACUCAGAGCCCGGCACCUGAAGAUAUCACCAUAAAUGUAAGGUACCAAAGAAAGCAUUAUGGCCAUAAAGCAGAAAUUCAGCACAUGAGGAUGAGUGACAAAGAAAAGGCCAACGGGGUUAACCAACGUAGCAGAGGACCUGGAGCGUGGUGUGCCCAUGAAAACCAUAUUGAAUAAUAUAAGAACAUCUGUUGGGGGCAUGUAAGCUGAGGCCAGCACAUUUGGCAGAACGCAUAACUCUGCAUAACAUCAAACGGCAGUUUCACAUUGCUGCUCCUGAACAGUGUCACACCAAUGAUGCUGUCAGUGUAGAUAUGUGGGUGAAAGCAAUGUAAGACAAAGGUGAAACACUUGUCUGUCUGUAUAAGGCACAAGGUGCAGUGGACCCAACUGGUACUUUUGGUGCAACAGAUUUUGCCCUUGCUUUGAUGACAGAGCCACAAAAAGAGCUGUUAGAAGAAUUGGGCACGGGCACUGUGUGUCUUGACUCAACACAUGGAACUACAGGGUAACAGUUUAAGCUGACCACUCUUCUAGUGCUAGAUGAAGUGGGAUAAGGUAUACCUAUAGCCUAUUUCAUCUGCAACAGGAUGAAUGAGGAAAACUUGGCAGCUUUUUUAGGUCUCUUGAGUGUGCCAUCAACGAAAAAGUGGCUGCUAAGACAUUUAUGUCUGAUGACGCCUCACAAUUUUACAAGGCAUGGUCGUCAGUUAUGGGUGUCCCUCAGCAGAAACUUCUCUGCACCUGGCAUGUGGAUAGGAAUUGGCAGAAGAAGAUACAUGAGUUUGUAGAAAAACAA